rnacentral:tRNA from 1 species
GGUUAUGGCUUAGUGACAGAGCAUUUGCUUGGCAUUCAGAAGGUCCCAGGUUCAAUCCCAGGAAUCA